CUUCCCCAUAAUGAGGGUUAUCCUACAGAACUGUCUGUAAAUAGUACCCAGGACAGUGAAACAAGAAAAAUAUUUUCUUAAGGUUAGAAACCUACCUCCAUGAUGCUGGUUAGUUGUCUCGCUUACCCCAUUUAAUGACCUGGGGAUUUUUGAGAGUAACAUGCUUCACACGGCAGCUAAAUUCAUCCUGUCCAUUGGGAGUGAAUUCAGUGUGGA